AACGAACGCUGGCGGCAUGCCUAACACAUGCAAGUCGAACGAGACCUUCGGGUCUAGUGGCGCACGGGUGCGUAACGCGUGGGAACCUGCCCUUAGGUUCGGAAUAACUCCCCGAAAGGGGUGCUAAUACCGGAUAAUGUCUUCGGACCAAAGAUUUAUCGCCUUUGGAUGGGCCCGCGUUGGAUUAGCUAGUUGGUAGGGUAAAAGCCUACCAAGGCGACGAUCCAUAGCUGGUCUGAGAGGAUGAUCAGCCACACUGGGACUGAGACACGGCCCAGACUCCUACGGGAGGCAGCAGUGAGGAAUAUUGGAGAGUGGGCGAGAGACUGAUCCAGCAAUGCCGCGUGAGAGAUGAAGGCCUUAGGGUUGUAAAGCUCUUUUACUCGGGAGGAUAAUGACAGUACCGGGAGAAUAAGCUCCGGCUAACUCCGUG
rnacentral:rRNA from 1 species